rnacentral:lncRNA from 1 species
GCCUGAAUCCAGGCUGAGUUGUGUGUCCAGAUUCUCAGGAGACAGCAAUUUUAUGCUUUCUUUUUCAGGAGAUUUCAGUCUUAAGGUGAACUUGAUUGCAGGCUUCUGACAACCUUUUCAAGGACACAACCCAUGAGACAGAAGGCUAAAUUUGGAUUUGAUCCAUGGCUGGCCAGUAGCUUUCUGUUGAACACAGUCUGCUGGAGGCAACCCUGCCUCAAAAAGUCCCUACACUAACAGUCAGUGGGAGCUGUGAAAGAAAAAGAAGGGAAACACAGCUCAAGGCCCACUACUUACAGCACUGUCCUGAGCCUCCAUUGCUGACACCAUUCAGGACAGUCUCCUGGACCAAGAGUGCAUGUGAAACAUCCUGGGCUAAUGUGGAAUGGCACGGGCAUCGCAAUGCGUUAUUCAUACCUGUCUUUCUUUUGGGAGAAUAGCUGCUCUCCUUUGCCGUUCCUGGGCUGGCACUGCUCACCAGUCUCUGAGCAAGAAAUCCAAGCCAAACACCACGUCCAGUGGUUCCUGUCUGGAGAGGACAUGGGUCUUCCACAUUCAGCUGUACUGAAGAAGAUUAUAAUAAAAUAAAAAUGAAUACAAGAUUUUGUUGUUAUUAUCUUCAAUAUUUCUGUUUCUCCUGAGGUAAGCAGUAGUAUUGUCUAUCCACUAUAUUUUAUCUUAUUGCUUCAUUGCUCUUAUCUCAGACAGUAUUUAAUCCAAGUUAGGGUCAG